rfam:Caenorhabditis japonica strain DF5081 Contig8826.1, whole genome shotgun sequence.
ACUAAAAAUAUAAAGACUCAUCCUUUUGGAUGAGGUAUUUCCAAUGAGUUGAAUAUAAAUUAUUCUUCGAGUAGCAAGGAGAGGGCAAGUCUGGUGCCAGCAGCCGCGGGUAAUUCCAGCUCUCCUAGUGUAUCUCGUUAUUGCUGCGGUUAAAAAGCUCGUAGUUGGAUCUAGGUUACGUGCCGCAGUUCGCAAUUUGCGUUAACUGUGGUCGUGACUUCUAAUUUGCUGGUUUGAGGUUGGGUUCGCCCUUCAACUGCCAGCAGGUUUACCUUGAAUAAAUCAGAGUGCUCAAUACAGGCGCUUGCUUGAAUAGCUCAUCAUGGAAUAAUGAAACAGGACUUCGGUUCUUUUUGUUGGUUCUAGAAUUGAUCUAAUGGUUAAGAGGGACAAACCGGGGGCAUUCGUAUCAUUACGCGAGAGGUGAAAUUCGUGGACCGUAGUGAGACGCCCAAUAGCGAAAGCAUUUGCCAAGAAUGUCUUCAUUAAUCAAGAACGAAAGUCAGAGGUUCGAAGGCGAUUAGAUACCGCCCUAGUUCUGACCGUAAACGAUGCCAUCUCGCGAUUCGGAGGGUUCAUGCCCUACCGAGGAGCUACCCGGAAACGAAAGUCUUUCGGUUCCGGGGGUAGUAUGGUUGCAAAGCUGAAACUUAAAGAAAUUGACGGAAGGGCACCACAAGGCGUGGAGCUUGCGGCUUAAUUUGACUCAACACGGGAAAACUCACCCGGUCCGGACACUAUUAGGACUGACAGAUUGAAAGUCUCUUUCUCGAUUUGGUGGUUGGUGGUGCAUGGCCGUUCUUAGUUGGUGGAGUGAUUUGUCUGGUUUAUUCCGAUAACGAGCGAGACUCUAGCCUGCUAAAUAGUCGACGAAUCUUCGGGUUCGUAUAACUUCUUAGAGGGAUAAGCGGUGUUUAGCCGCACGAGAUUGAGCGAUAACAGGUCUGUGAUGCCCUUAGAUGUCCGGGGCUGCACGCGUGCUACACUGGUGGAGUCAGCGGGUUUUUCCUAUGCCGAAAGGUAUCGGUAAACCGUUGAACUUCUUCCAUGUCCGGGAUAGGGUAUUGUAAUUAUUACCCUUAAACGAGGAAUGCCUAGUAAGUGUGAGUCAUCAGCUCACGUUGAUUACGUCCCUGCCCUUUGUACACACCGCCCGUCGCUAUCCGGGACUGAACUGAUUCGAGAAGAGUGGGGACUGUGGCUGCGAGGUUUUACCACUUCGCAGUUGCGGAAACCAUUUUUAUCGCAUUGGUUUGAACCGGGUAAAAGUCGUAACAAGGUAGCUGU